UACGUAGGGGGCAAGCGUUGUCCGGAAUCAUUGGGCGUAAAGCGCGUGUAGGCGGCUCGAUAAGUCUGCUGUGAAAGUUCAGGGCUCAACCCUGAAAUGCCGGUGGAAACUGUCGGGCUAGAGUCCAGAAGAGGCGAGUGGAAUUCCUGGUGUAGCGGUGAAAUGCGCAGAUAUCAGGAGGAACACCAAUGGCGAAGGCAGCUCGCUGGGACGGUACUGACGCUGAGACGCGACAGCGUGGGGAGCAAACAGG
rnacentral:rRNA from 1 species